rnacentral:tRNA from 1 species
GCUAGGAUGGCAGAGCCCGGGUAAUUGCGAAAGGCCUAAGCCCUUUUUUUCAGAGGUUCAAGUCCUCUUCCUAUCU